GCUGGGCUUUAACUGACGCUGAGGCACGAAAGCGUGGGUAGCAAACAGGAUUAGAUACCCUGGUAGUCCACGCUGUAAACGAUGAUUACUAGGUGUGGGGGGACUGACCCCUUCCGUGCCGGAGUUAACACAAUAAGUAAUCCACCUGGGGAGUACGGCCGCAAGGUUGAAACUCAAAGGAAUUGACGGGGGCCCGCACAAGCAGUGGAGUAUGUGGUUUAAUUCGAAGCAACGCGAAGAACCUUACCAGGUCUUGACAUCCAACUAACGAAGUAGAGAUACAUUAGGUGCCCUUCGGGGAAAGUUGAGACAGGUGGUGCAUGGUUGUCGUCAGCUCGUGUCGUGAGAUGUUGGGUUAAGUCCCGCAACGAGCGCAACCCUUGCUAUUAGUUGCUACGCAAGAGCACUCUAAUAGGACUGCCGUUGACAAAACGGAGGAAGGUGGGGACGACGUCAAAUCAUCAUGCCCCUUAUGACCUGGGCUACACACGUACUACAAUGGCCGUCAACAGAGGGAGGCAAAAUAGCGAUAUGGAGCAAACCCCUAAAAACGGUCUCAGUUCAGAUUGCAGGCUGCAACCCGCCUGCAUGAAGUCGGAAU
rnacentral:rRNA from 1 species